UGCAGGGUUUGUCAUGCCGGUACUUUCUUUGCCUGAGUUCAGAAUCACUGCCAAUUCUCUCCUCUAUGAUGAUGUAGUAAAAUCUGUGUCUCUGCUAAAAGAGGAACUUGAGGAUUUCUGCAAAAAGGAGACAAAAAAAAUAUCUGAUAGAGUGCAAAACAAUGCGACCAUUCCCAUUUCUGAAGACAAGGUGAAACAAUUGCCAGAUCCAUGGUCACGGUUUAGGACCAGAGCAGGGACAAGGCCACGGUUAAAGACCUCCAACAGUCUCUCUACAGGGACAGAGACUAGACCCUCUGCAUUUUUGCUGAACGCAGUGGUGGAUGAUAAAAGCCAUACUUGAGUAAAAGUAUAGAUAUCUCACCAGAAAACGACUUUGGUAAAAGUUAAAGGCACUGUUUAGAAUAUUACUUGAGUAAAAGUUUUAAAGUAUGUGAUAUUUUUUGUACUUAAGUAUGAAAAGUAUUUUUUUUUAUAUUAAACGUAAGUAUUGAAAGCAUAGGCGUAAUUUGCGGGUGGGGCGGGUGGGGCGGGUGGGGCAUGUCCCCACCACUUUUUGAAAGGGUCGAUAUUGUCCCCACCACUUUUUGAAACAUCUCGCGGCACGGAUAUGUAAUACAAAAGAAACACCUCUAGUUGAUUAUCAAUUUGUGUUAAUAAUAGGCGAUCUGGCGCUGGGAUGUGUUGUUUUUGAAAACAUGUUGAGUGCUCGUUGUCGCUGUUAUCAGAGGCGCAACAGUGUUCUCUUGGCGCUCGUGCACACUGCGGAUUCACACGGACGAGCGCUUCAGUCUAUCGCUUAACUGUUGCGGAGACCUUUAUUCGUUACGUUGAAAUCACAAAACAAAAUACACAUAAACGUGUCCCUGCUCUUGAUAUACAAUCACUGAUGAACAUCUUUGGUUUUAAUGAGGAAAAAAAAACAAAAAUCAGACAUGAAUGGAUUAGAACCCUGAACCUCUUGCACGCUAAACGAAAAUCCACGAAGCGGAUCCACGUAUUUAUUAACUAAUGUACAUACUCCCGAGACUAACGACAUAUUAUAGCAGAUGUAAGGAAGAAACUAUCAUAUUAAUUAAUUAUUAUUAUUAUUAUUAUUAUUAUUAUUAAUACAAUUACAAUAAUUGUAAUUGUAUUAAUUGUAUUACAUACACGAAUGUCCCACCCACUUUUUAAAACAAAGUUACGCCAAUGAUUGAAAGUAAAAGUACAAUUAAAUGUAAACUACAAAAGGAGCAAAAAAAAAAAAAAAAAAUUACAAAUUGUUCUAUACACAGUUUGAGCAUUAAGAUUGUGUUCAGUUUUAACUCUUUUUACAUUUUUUUCCUAGAAUAAAAAAAAUGGCAAAAUGUUUAUUGUAAGUUUUAAAUAUAAAAAACAUUAAUAUAUUAAUUAUACAUUGAUCAUUCAUGUUAAUUCAUAGUGCAUAACGAUUUUGGAAAAUAAUCUAAUUGCGAUUAUUUUUACCAAUAUUGCGAUUGCAAUUUAAUGUGCGAUUAUUUUUUAAGUUCUUUAUCUUCUGUAUUAUUCAACAAAGACCAGCAAUAAAUGAUUGUAGGGGUGGGAAUCUUUAGGCACCUCAAAAUUCGUUUCAAUUCUGGGAGUCACAGUCCGAUUCCAAAACAAUUCUGAUCUUUUUUCUUAUGGAUUAGUCUUAUUAAUAAAACUUUUUUAUUAUUUAAUUACAUAUGUAAUUAUAAGUACUUUUUAAAAUAAUUACACAUUCAAAAUUUAAUUAAAACAAUUGCAUGUUAAUAAUUAAAAAAAACAACAACUAAUAAACGAAGACAGAUUAAGCCAGGAUUAGGCUUUAGUUUAAUUAGGACAUCUAAGUAUCUUUUAUAAAUGUGCCUUAGAAAAAAAACAUAAAUGGUGUGCAUCUUGAGACAAAACAAUGGCACUGAUAUAUUUUAAAGCAUAUCAGUGCAUCGCCAUCACGCAUCUGUGGUUAAAAACUAAGCUCAGAAUCGAUCCAGAAACGUUAGAGAGAGAAUCUUUUCUCCCAUCUCUAUUGUAUAGUAUGAACAACACAAUAUUAGAUAGAUUAAACAUAAACUGUGCUUUUAUGUAGGACAGGCAUAUGUGUAGCGUGCCAAGUUGAUGCUUCCUCUGCAGACUGCUUUACUCUCACAUGUCACGUGGCGAGGAUGUAAUAGCAGCCUUUGCGAUUAAAAAAUCACGUUUUGUCAUAUCGCGAUAUUAUCGCAAAUGCGAUUAAUCGUUCAGCCCUACUUCACACUGUCAGCGUCACAGGACAAAUACAGUAUUUAACAAACAUUUAGCAACACUUCUGAUUCAGUGCUCAAAGAAAGUUUCUUUCAUAUAUCGUCAAGGCCAAAUAACUUCUGAAACCCAAUUAAAAACCAAAUUAAUUUAUGGCUGAGUGAUUACUGAAUAAUGGUUAUGAAAUAACUGAGUGAAAUGUGUUUUGGAUGCCCUGAUAGAUGGAUAACAUUCUGGCUUUUAGGAAAAGAUACCGUAUGUUCAAUUUUAUACCUGUAUGUAUUAAAUUGCUCAGGUUUAGUUAAUUUUUUUUCUUUAUAAUUAGCCUUUUGUAGCUGACUCUUGACUUUUUAGAACUUCUCUAAAUUAGAAUUUCUCUAAACCAAUAGUUAGAUACCUCUCUUAGGUUUACUAAAGUCCGAAUCAUAAAGUCCGACAGAGAUGCUUAAUCUCCACUACCCUUUUUUAAAUAGCUAUGCAAUUUCUUAACUUUACAGCUUUGUUAUGAGAAAGAUGAAUUUAUUUUGUUUCGGUUAUCUUUGUAUAGCUUUAUAACUGCUAGGGAAAGUACAUUAAACAUCUCUUGACUUUAUUUAAUAAAACUGCAACUGUUCAUUGUUAUUUAACAGAUACAACUUUUAUUUUUAAUAAUGUAUUAGUAAAUGUUCAUGUUUAUGUUAACAAAUGUAGGUAACUAAUGUUAUUAACAAAUGGAAAGUUUUAUAGGAAAAAACAAAAUUGUUUUUUGACAUUUGGUUCAGUAAUGGGUCAGCUGUUUAAUAAUAGACCCUUUUUCACAGACUGUGAAAUCCUGCAUAGUUUUUUAUAUUUAUAUAUUUUAAAAAACGUAUGUACAUUUAUAACGCUAUACUUAGUAUUAUAUUACAUUUGCAUCAAGUUACAAAAAACUAGUUAACGCUGCUGUGAGGGUGUUUCUAAUACAGCAGCUAUGGGAGUGACAGUAAAAAUGACAUCUUUCUCUCUUCUGACUGCUGUUAUUAAUCACUCUCUAUUUUUUCCUCUUUUUGAAAGUUGUGAAAACACUAUUGUGGAGUUUUUCUUUUGCUAUUUGAGUAAAUUGAAACACAAAAAAAAUAUAUUUAACGUAUUCUUUCAUUCACCCAACUAUGACGACUUCCACUUCUGAGAAACCCGGAAAUGUGAAAAGGGUCUAUGAGGGAGGUUUAAUUACUGGCUGUAUUUUAAAAUACAAAAUACCAGUAACGUCAAAAUAUUUUACAGUACUAUUCAAAAUUUUAUGGUCUGUAAGAUAUUUCUGAAAGAAGUCUUUUAUGCUCACCAAGAAUUUAUCAACAAUAAAGUAAAAACAGUAAUACAUGUGAUACAUUUUUUCAGGAUUCUUUGCUAAAAUUGCUUCAGUAGAACAGCAUUUGAAACAGAAAUCUUUUGUAAUAUUCGUAACAUGUCUUUACUGCCACUUUUGAUCCAUUUAAUGGAUUCUUGCUAAAUAAAUGUAUUAAUUUCUUCAAAAAAAAGUCUUACUUUUGAAGGGUAGUAUAGUUAAUUAUGUUAAUUAUGCAAAGUUAUGUACUAUUGCUGUGGAACUACUAUAUUCAUUUAUUCUGUUCGUCCUGCACCAACUGUC